GACUCGAUGGCGGAUGGUCUGCGCCUGCUUUGCUUAUUCAGAGCGUCAUGAGUUUAGGCAGGUAUGCCCGGUUCGAAUCCGGGUCGAGUCU